rfam:Hordeum vulgare subsp. vulgare, WGS project CAJW01000000 data, contig: morex_contig_47965
GGCAAUUUUAAUAAAUUUAAGGCUACUUUCUCGAAACAUUCGCAGUUGCCUCCUAAGAGCUUUCGCCUUGCCAGGCUUGAGAGCUAAUGCUGUUUGAUCAUUCCUUGGAUGUUUGAUGCA